AGAGCCUCAAGCACUUCAGUUCAACAAUGGAAUAUAUAUAUAUGUGUGUGUGUGUGUGUGUGUGUGUGUGUGUGUAUACACACACACACACACACACACACACACACACAUAUAU
rnacentral:miRNA from 1 species